rnacentral:rRNA from 1 species
CAGUCGCCACGGUAAUACGAAGGGUGCAAGCGUUACUCGGAAUUACUGGGCGUAAAGCGUGCGUAGGUGGUGGUUUAAGUCCGUUGUGAAAGCCCUGGGCUCAACCUGGGAAUUGCAGUGGAUACUGGGUCACUAGAGUGUGGUAGAGGAUAGUGGAAUUUCCGGUGUAGCGGUGAAAUGCGUAGAGAUCUGGAGGAAUACCGAUGGCGAAGGCAGCCAUCUGGCCUAAUACUGACGCUGAGGUACGAAAGCAUGGGGAGCAAACAGGAUUAGAUACCCGGGUAGUCCCUGUCUCUUAUAC